AACAUUCUGGUUUUAAAAAUAUAGAUUUUUUUAAUCAGUCUAAUGUAAUAUUCCAAUUUUCAAUGUCAUGUUUUCAAAAUCAUCAAUAAAUGAUUUGUUAUUACACACCUCUGUGUGUAAUAAUCUGUAUGUGUUUCCAGGACCUUCCAGGAUAAAGUUUCUGAAAUAAAUGGGCUUUUCAAUAAGAUUCUAAUUUAUUGAAUGGGUCUGUGUUGUAAAAUACUUUAAAAGAAUGUUGAACUAAUAAAAACAAAUGUGAAUACACAUUAAAGACGUGCGGUAAAUGAUGCACAUGACAAUGCAACAGUUCUUCCAUCUGAAGAAGAAAAAAAGAAUUGAUUCAAAUCUUUGGUGACAAAGAGUUCAAGGCCGGCAGACAAUGCUCCACUGUGCUCAGCACGUCCUCCUGGCAUGACAACAAACAGUAAGCCAUUAGAUAACACUAGAGUAAAGCCUCAUGUACAGCCCAGUGGUUACAUACUGUCGGUAUUAUAGCCGAUAUAUAUAUAUUAAUAUAUAUAUAGAACUUAUAUAUAUAUUACUCUCUAAUCUAGCUGAUAGAACUUAUAGUAGAAAUGGGAAAAUUCCUGAAUCUGAAAAUACAAAUCAAUUUAAAACCUGAACUGGGCCCAUAAAAUACCAUUAGAAUUCCAUGUUUACAUAAACAGGCAGUUUUUGGCUUUUUACUGUAUUUUACACACACAAAAAAUCAUCACUAUCAACCAGUACAUUGACACAAAGCCACUGAUCCUUUGUGCACAUGCAGCCCAAGAGCUUGUGAAGAAAUUUUUCCUCUAAAAUAUUUUAAAACAUUUAAUCUAUCGAUGCUGAAAGCAUUAAAUCUAAUUUAAUAUCAUUAUCAUUCUCAAUAAUUAAAUGUUCAAAUCCUUGAUCUAUGAUCUGUGAUCAAAUUCAAGCAUUUUUUUUAAGAUUAUAGGUUUGUGUGAGUAUUUUCUAUAAGGUCUUCCAAUAUAAUUACCUAGUGAUAUUUUUAAUUUCCUCUCACCUUCUAUGUUUUUUACAAACACAGUGGGCUGCUGGCUGACUGCCACAGCGCCUCUGCCACCGGAUUUAGCAAGUUUUCUUGAGGAAAACUCUGUAGAAGCGUCAUAAAAAAGUUUACUUUUAAGCGUCGUCCUAGAGGAAGACGGCGUGCCCUGAAGCCGAUUCCACAGCAGAGUAAUCUGUUCACCGAAGUUACAUCUUGCUGUGGCUUCUGUUUAACUGCGACACCUUCCCUGAGGGGGCUGGGUGGAGGUAUUGCUUCCAGUUAAUUAAACGUUUUACCCCGUGUUUCUGUGGCUAACCCUGUCUAGAGAUGCUCCAAUCCGAUAAUGUUGAAAAAAAGUCUAGAAUGGAUAUUGGUGACAAUGUGUCUGACCCAUAAGAGCUGAUCUAUUCAGUCUCAUUCUAUGCUCUGUGCAAUAUAAAUAAGAAAAAUAAAAGCCACACACCUCCAGAAUUAAGUUUUUUUCCCUUUAUGUUGAAACAAUUGCCUUUAUUUGAACAUAAAAGUUAUGGGGUUUUUUUUAAAUAGUGCCCCCUUGUUCCCUCUUUGUGUUCUGUUUUUGUUUUGUUAUAAAUAGAAAUUGUAAAGAGAAGGAAUUUUAUAACUGAUCACAGACUGGAACUGUGACCUCGACGUGGAAACAAGCUUUUCUGUAAUCUUCUCAAAGUUUCAAAAAUAAAGAAUAUAAACAAAAAGGAUUAUGUGUUAUUGCAAAGGCAAUUUCAAGUUAGGUGGUCCAGGUGUGUUUUUUGGACAGGUCAGACAGUCGUUGAUCUGUUUUCACGUUGGCCAGGAUUCUCUUGUAGAACGGAAUCUAUUUUGCUGCCUACAGGAAGUCGCAUAUAUCUUAACUGAGCCUUAGAAUUAGAGUUAAUUCAAACAAUUGCUGACUUAUUCUAAGACCACCACAAAAAACUUGUCUGAGGAAACUGUCUACAUACUGUGUAUGUAUUUAUCGCUGUCCAGGUGGGAUGGUAUCAGCAACCAUUGCAACAGUUUGGUGAAGCCACUUCAAACCCGCAGCAGAGCAGCAGCACAAACCAAACACUGCCUGCCAUUUCUUAGGCAACAGUCUUCACAAUGACCACUAUUCAAAGUAGUACUGAUGUGUGCCAUAAUAGGAGCCAGGCCCAGAAUUUUCUAUUGUGUCUGCCUGUGUAUGUUGUGUUUGUUUAUCUGGGCAGCAGGCUGAAAUUGACACAAAGCACACAGAUGAUGGAUAGUGAGUGGAUGAGUUUUUCUUUUUGCUUUCUGUAAGUCACGAGGAAUUGACUGCUUUGGAAUUGCACUUCUACCAUAAGCGGACCAAGUUUAGAAGCCAGGGUGUCAUGUACUCCAGGCAGAGAUGCUUGAGCUCAAUACCUAACAGCUCUUCAGCCUCUGUAGCUCGGACCUGACACCCUGAAAUAAGCUAAGCAGAGAAAAAAGCCAAGUGCAAAGGUCGAGAGGACCAUUCACAGCAGUUCUCAAGUCUGCAUCAGUUCAUUCAUCUCUCCGUUUCAACACAUAGGUCUCUGGAAACUACCUUAUAACAUGAUGAAAACCACCAGAACUCUGUGCCUGUUUCUGCUGUUCCUGCUCCACCCUGCUGAAGCAGACCCAGCUCUUUCAACUACCACCAUGGAUUUACCCACAUCCCAAGACCAAACAGGCAGCCCAACAUUUACAGCAGAGUCCCACCUCACAGCAACUUACCAUGAAAACCCAGCUGUUGCAGUCAACGCCACUGGUGGCGACUGCUUAAUUGACACUGAGAUGGGUCUCAUUGCCAUUGGUUCAGCAGGAGGAUUAAUCC